rnacentral:rRNA from 1 species
UACGUAGGGGGCAAGCGUUGUCCGGAAUCAUUGGGCGUAAAGCGCGUGUAGGCGGCCUUGUAAGUCCGUUCUGAAAGCCCGGGGCUCAACCCCGGGAGGCGGAUGGAUACUGCAAGGCUCGAGUACGGAAGAGGCGAGUGGAAUUCCCGGUGUAGCGGUGAAAUGCGCAGAUAUCAGGAGGAACACCAAUAGCGAAGGCAGCUCGCUGGGACGGUACUGACGCUAAGGCGCGAAAGCUAGGGGAGCAAACGGG